rnacentral:rRNA from 1 species
CGAUGGGAAACAGGUUAAUAUUCCUGUACUUGGUGUUACUGCGAAGGGGGGACGGAGAAGGCUAUGUUGGCCGGGCGACGGUUGUCCCGGUUUAAGCGUGUAGGCUGGUUUUCCAGGCAAAUCCGGAAAACUAAGGCUGAGGCGUGAUGACGAGGCACUACGGUGCUGAAGCAACAAAUGCCCUGCUUCCAGGAAAAGCCUCUAAGCAUCAGGUAACAUCAAAUCGUACCCCAAACCGACACAGGUGGUCAGGUAGAGAAUACCAAGGCGCUUGAGAGAACUCGGGUGAAGGAACUAGGCAAAAUGGUGCCGUAACUUCGGGAGAAGGCACGCUGAUAUGUAGGUGAAGUCCCUCGCGGAUGGAGCUGAAAUCAGUCGAAGAUACCAGCUGGCUGCAACUGUUUAUUAAAAACACAGCACUGUGCAAACACGAAAGUGGACGUAUACGGUGUGACGCCUGCCCGGUGCCGGAAGGUUAAUUGAUGGGGUCAGCGCAAGCGAAGCUCUUGAUCGAAGCCCCGGUAAACGGCGGCCGUAACUAUAACGGUCCUAAGGUAGCGAAAUUCCUUGUCGGGUAAGUUCCGACCUGCACGAAUGGCGUAAUGAUGGCCAGGCUGUCUCCACCCGAGACUCAGUGAAAUUGAACUCGCUGUGAAGAUGCAGUGUACCCGCGGCAAGACGGAAAGACCCCGUGAACCUUUACUAUAGCUUGACACUGAACAUUGAGCCUUGAUGUGUAGGAUAGGUGGGAGGCUUUGAAGUGUGGACGCCAGUCUGCAUGGAGCCGACCUUGAAAUACCACCCUUUAAUGUUUGAUGUUCUAACGUUGACCCGUAAUCCGGGUUGCGGACAGUGUCUGGUGGGUAGUUUGACUGGGGCGGUCUCCUCCUAAAGAGUAACGGAGGAGCACGAAGGUUGGCUAAUCCUGGUCGGACAUCAGGAGGUUAGUGCAAUGGCAUAAGCCAGCUUGACUGCGAGCGUGACGGCGCGAGCAGGUGCGAAAGCAGGUCAUAGUGAUCCGGUGGUUCUGAAUGGAAGGGCCAUCGCUCAACGGAUAAAAGGUACUCCGGGGAUAACAGGCUGAUACCGCCCAAGAGUUCAUAUCGACGGCGGUGUUUGGCACCUCGAUGUCGGCUCAUCACAUCCUGGGGCUGAAGUAGGUCCCAAGGGUAUGGCUGUUCGCCAUUUAAAGUGGUACGCGAGCUGGGUUUAGAACGUCGUGAGACAGUUCGGUCCCUAUCUGCCGUGGGCGCUGGAGAACUGAGGGGGGCUGCUCCUAGUACGAGAGGACCGGAGUGGACGCAUCACUGGUGUUCGGGUUGUCAUGCCAAUGGCACUGCCCGGUAGCUAAAUGCGGAAGAGAUAAGUGCUGAAAGCAUCUAAGCACGAAACUUGCCCCGAGAUGAGUUCUCCCUGACUCCUUGAGAGUCCUGAAGGAACGUUGAAG